GAUACGCUAGCGGCAGGCAUAAUACAUGCAAGUUGAACGGGAUAAGUUUUAGCAAUAAGACUUUGAGAGUAGCGCACGGGUGCGUAACACGUAUGCAACCUGCCCUUUACUGGGGAAUAGCCUCUCGAAAGAGAGAUUAAUACCCCAUAAUAUAUAAGAUAGGCAUCUAUCAGAUAUUAAAGCUACGGCGGUAAAGGAUGGGCAUGCGGUUGAUUAGGUAGUUGGUGAGGUAAUGGCUCACCAAGCCAACGAUCAAUAGGGGGUCUGAGAGGAUGUCCCCCCACACUGGUACUGAGACACGGACCAGACUCCUACGGGAGGCAGCAGUAGGGAAUAUUGGACAAUGGGGGCAACCCUGAUCCAGCCAUGCCGCGUGCAGGAUGAAGGCCCUAUGGGUCGUAAACUGCUUUUGUACAGGAAGAAACCUCACUACGUGUAGUGAGUUGACGGUACUGUGAGAAUAAGGAUCGGCUAACUUCGUGCCAGCAGCCGCGGUAAU
rnacentral:rRNA from 1 species